rnacentral:rRNA from 1 species
GAUGAACGCUAGCGACAGGCCUAACACAUGCAAGUCGAGGGGCAGCACGGUGUAGCAAUACACGGGUGGCGACCGGCGCACGGGUGAGUAACGCGUAUGCAACCCGCCUACUACAAGGGGAUAACCCGUUGAAAGACGGACUAAUACCCUAUAACACAGGGAAUCCGCAUGGAUAUAUUUGUUAAAGAUUUAUCGGUAGUAGAUGGGCAUGCGUUCCAUUAGCUUGUUGGUGAGGUAACGGCUCACCAAGGCAACGAUGGAUAGGGGAACUGAGAGGUUGAUCCCCCACACUGGAACUGAGACACGGUCCAGACUCCUACGGGAGGCAGCAGUGAGGAAUAUUGGUCAAUGGACGAGAGUCUGAACCAGCCAAGUCGCGUGAAGGAAGACGGCCCUACGGGUUGUAAACUUCUUUUGUAAGGGAAUAAAUAGUCUUACGCGCUAAGACGUUGCAGGUACCUUACGAAUAAGGACCGGCUAACUCCGUG